rnacentral:rRNA from 1 species
GACGAACGCUGGCGGCGCGCUUAACACAUGCAAGUCGAACGGAAAGGCCUGCUUUCCCUUGUGGAUUGCGGGUACUCGAGUGGCGAACGGGUGAGUAACACGUGAGUGAUCUGCCCCCAACUUGGGUAUAAGCCUGGGAAACUGGGUCUAAUUCCCGAUAGGACUGCAGGGUGGUGCCUGUGGUGGAAAACGAUUUUCUAGUGGUUGGGGAUGAGCUCGCGGCCUAUCAGCUUGUUGGUGGGGUAAUGGCCUACCAAGGCGGCGACGGGUAGCCGGCCUGGGAGGGUGGACGGCCACAUUGGGACUGAGAUACGGCCCAGACUCCUACGGGAGGCAGCAGUGGGGAAUAUUGCACAAUGGGCGGAAGACUGAUGCCGCGACGCCGCGUGGGGGAUGACGGCCUUCGGGUUGUAAACUCCUUUCGACCGCGAGGAAGCCACCUGGUUGGAAGGGUGGUGACGGUAGUGGUAGAAGAAGCACCGGCUAACUACGUG